AGCGAACGCUGGCGGCAGGCCUAACACAUGCAAGUCGAACGAACUCUUCGGAGUUAGUGGCGGACGGGUGAGUAACACGUGGGAACGUGCCUUUUGGUUCGGAAUUACUCAGGGAAACUUGUGCUAAUACCGAAUGUGCCCUUCGGGGGAAAGAUUUAUCGCCAUUAGAGCGGCCCGCGUCUGAUUAGCUAGUUGGUGAGGUAAAGGCUCACCAAGGCGACGAUCAGUAGCUGGUCUGAGAGGAUGACCAGCCACACUGGGACUGAGACACGGCCCAGGCUCCUACGGGAGGCAGCAGUGGGGAAUCUUGCGCAAUGGGCGAAAGCCUGACGCAGCCAUGCCGCGUGAAUGAUGAAGGUCUUAGGAUUGUAAAAUUCUUUCACCGGGGACGAUAAUGACGGUACCCGGAGAAGAAGCCCCGGCUAACUUCGUG
rnacentral:rRNA from 1 species